rnacentral:lncRNA from 1 species
UCCUGGGACACACACCAACGCCGGAGCGCUUGGUGGCUGAGUACGGCAAAGAUUAAUAGUUCUCCAACAGCUAGGGCUCGGCACACGGAUGCACCACUAGAGCCACCACUAGCUGGUUCCACACUUAAUAUAAUCACACAAAUGUGCCCGAUGGGCGCGUGGAGUGCCAGACAACACCCAGGAGCUCGGAAGCUCGACACUGAAAGGGGUGCUUCGGCUACGAAUCCUGACCCACUGCUAGCCAGAUCAACCACGCCAAAAGCUCACAAGCUGGAUAAUAACAGC